CACCACCCAAACGACCACCACUGUUCCUCCAGUGGUCUGCCAGAAUGGAGGCACCUACGACUCCAUCAAGUGCCUCUGCCUCCCCGACUUCUACGGCCCCUUGUGCGAGUUCUUCAGCGACUCCAUCACCACCGAGCUCCCCAUUGAGGGGACAAUUGUGGCCAACGUGGAGCUGGUGGUGAC